rnacentral:rRNA from 1 species
GGCAGCAGCUAAGAAUAUUCCACAAUGGACGGAAGUCUGAUGGAGCGACGCCGCGUGCGCGAUGAAGGCCGUGAGGUUGUAAAGCGCUUUUCUUGAGGGGGAACAACACAUCCAGGGAAUGGGAUGUGGAUGACGUGAAUCGAGGAAUAAGCCCCGGCUAACUACGUGCCAGCAGCCGCGGUAACACGUAGGGGGCGAGCGUUGUUCGGAAUCAUUGGGCGUAAAGGGCGCGCAGGCGGCCCGGUAAGUCUGGUGUAAAAUGGUCGUGCUCAACACGAUCAUGCGCUGGAAACUGUCGGGCUAGAGUCAACGAGGGGAUGCCGGAAUUCCAGGUGUAGGGGUGAAAUCUGUAGAUAUCUGGAAGAACACCGAUGGCGAAGGCAGGCAUCUGGCGACUGACUGACGCUGAGGCGCGAAGGUGCGGGGAGCAAACAGGUUUAGAUACCCUGGUAGUCCGCACAGUAAACGAUGUGCACCAGGUGGCGGGCAGCAGUGCUCGGUACCGAAGCAAACGCAUUAAGUGCACCGCCUGGGGAGUAUGCCCGCAAGGGUGAAACUCAAAGGAAUUGACGG